GACGAACGCUGGCGGCGUGCUUAACACAUGCAAGUCGAACGGUAAGGCCCUGCUCUUGUUGUGUGCUCGAGUGGCGAGCGGGUGAGUAACACGUGUGUAUCCUGCCCUUUACUUUGGGAUAACUCUAGGAAACUGGGGCUAAUAUCGGAUAUGAGCUUGUGUUGCAUGGUUGGGUUUGGAAAGUUUCGGCGGUUGGGGAUGGACGCGCGGCUUAUCAGCUUGUUGGUGGGGUAGUGGAUUACCAAUGCGUUGACGGGUAGCCAGCCUGAGAGUGUGACCGGGCACAGUGUGCCAGGGGUGCGAGCAGGACGCCAUCGGGGGGCAUCAGGGGAGAAUAGAGCAAGCAAGGCGGAGGGAGGAUACAGCAUCGCCGCAUGCGGAAUGACGGUCUUCGGGUAGUAAACCGUGUGAGCCUGUAACGAAGCGUGAGUGACGGUAAUUUAUAAAAAAGGAACGGCUAACUACGUG
rnacentral:rRNA from 1 species